GCAAGCUGGACAGCCGCGCGGGCGGGACGAAAGGCCCGUCUGUGAGGAAAGUCCGGGCUCCACAGGGCAAGGAUAACGGGUAACACCCGCCGGGGGCGACCCUAGGAAAAGUGCAACAGAGAUAUACCGCCAUUGCAGUUGAACUGUGCUGGUAAGGGCCAUGCGGCGCUGUGCGCCGCGCGGGGGAUAGUGUGAAAGGGGGCCGGCGAGGCCCGCCUUUCGCGUCCGGUCACCCCGCCGCAGCGGAUGCAAUUCCGAAGGAAUUGCCUUUCCACCCUUACCAUUGCAGUUCAGCUGCAAUGGUAAGGGUGGAAAGGUGAGGUAAGAGCUCACCCGACGGCGUGCCAAGCGUCCGUCGCUGUAAACUCUAUCCGGAGCAACGCCGUGGAGGGACAUAUGGCCGGCCCGGCCGUCCCGGGGAGGCGGCUUGAGCGUACCGGCAACGGUGCGUCGAGAUAGAUGGCUGUCUUAAAGGACAGAACCCGGCUUACAGGCUUACUUG
rnacentral:RNase_P_RNA from 1 species